rnacentral:rRNA from 1 species
UACGUAGGGGGCAAGCGUUGUCCGGAUUUAUUGGGCGUAAAGAGCGUGUAGGCGGCCAGGUAGGUCGGCUGUGAAAACUCGAGGCUCAACCUCGAGCUGUCGGCCGAAACCAUCUGGCUAGAGUCCGGAAGAGGAGAAUGGAAUUCCCGGUGUAGCGGUGAAAUGCGCAGAUAUCGGGAAGAACACCUAUGGCGAAGGCAGCUCGCUGGGACGUUACUGACGCUGAGACGCGAAAGCGUGGGGAGCAAACAGG